CACAAAUAUAGAAAAUCCACUGUUCACAUGGAUAGAGUCUCCCCUGUAUUUGCACGGCGUCACAUAAGUACAAUAUAUACAAUACAGGAUACAACCACUAUCUAUGAACAUACACAUAUUCAUCCACCAUUCACAUUCACAUUCAGAAUUUAUCCAUAAAUCCACAACUAUUAGUUUAAAAUGUUUCCUACUCGGAAACUUGUUUUAAAACACUAAGGCAUGAAAACAAAGAAAAAAUCUUUUUAAAAAUUGUUUCCCAAACGGAAACCUUUUCCUUUCAAAACUCACUACCACGAGGGGUAGAAAACUAUUUUCAGUUUACAAGAAUCACAAAUACUUUAUUACAUUCAUAAAAUCCCAAUAAUUCGAUUCAUAUAAAAUACUGAACCAUAAAUACUAUCUAAGUCAUUUUUAAAAGGAACUGAGUUAAGAUCAAACCAAAUGACGGGACAGUCGCUCUAAUAAUCGCUAAGUACGCUCCUCACGAUCCAUCCCACUAGGACCCGCGACGUCACCUGUAAUGAGGGUGGGGGUAAGAACAUGUACACAUGUCUCCCUUCCCAGUGGGUACCGCAAGCCGACGAGGGCGAGGGGUACUCAACAGUCAAGGAGAAUAAACAAUAGUAUGGGUAAGUGGAAACAGUAGAAACGAUAAUACAGACGGGCAAAGGCGAAGACGAGCAGCGUGCUGAUUCGCGUGGAGAACUCUAGGACGAGGGCCGUUUGGAGUCUAACCCCUAAGUCCAAGGUCGAUGGAUAUAUGACCUUGAAUCCCAGAGAGGGGAAGUUUAGUCGGAAGACUAUUUCCUUGAGAAGGAGUUAUAAGGUUGGCUACUGGACUCGUGGAACUUUGGUUAAGUCAGGGCGAAGUGGGCGUUAUUCUCAUAUUUAUAGUAGAAGGGGAAAUCUAAGGAAUUGGAGCGAUUUGUGGGGUUAGGCGAGAGAUAUUUUGAGGAGUCGGUUAGGGAUUCGAAAUUCGAAAUCGAAUUUUGAAUCGGUUGUUGGAGGGAUAGAUAUUCAAAAUUCGAAUGGCUAUGGUUGGUUGGGAGAUAUUUUGGGAGUUGGUUGUGGUUGGUUAGGAGAUAUUUUGGGAAUUGGUUGUGGUUGGUUAGGAUAAAAGAUAUUUUCUAAUUGGAUAUUGAAUUUUAGGAUGUGGCUAUGGCCGCCAUUGAUUGGGCCCACUUUGAUAAAACUUGUUAGGCACAAAUAAUAAUAUUCAUUGGGCUAAAAUCAGGCCCAAAUUAUUGCAUAUGCCUAAAAUUUUAACGGGAUUUCAUGAGACCCACUAACUCGCAUUUAUAAAUGGGCCUAUUGUGAAUUUAAAUUAUAAUUAUUGGUACCAAAAUUUCAUGGUUAACAUGAGACCUAUUAGAAUUGUAUGAGUCCGAAUUUAAUAGAUUUUGUUUAUAAUUACG
rnacentral:lncRNA from 1 species